AGACUAGAUUUGUUUCCAUUUCAUGAAUUUUAUAGCUGUUAUAUUGCCUUUAUUGUUAAAAAUUAGAAAUACAAAAUGAAUAGAGACAUUGCGCCUAUCUUGCCCUUGGAAGCGGCCUAUUCUGGCCUCUUCACUUGGGAGGAAGGGAGCUGAGACAUAAGAUGGAGGGAGGGGCCACCCCCACGGCUUGACACCCCCCACCCCUGUCCCCAGACUCCCGUGUGCCCCACUGGGCAGAGAAAGUUUGACUGCACCGACUGAGCUCUAUUGGUUCUUAGAUUUACACAGGCUGGCGGAAAUAGACUGGAGGUCUUUGUGUGCUCAUCCUCUGGUCCUGAGUUGGGACUUUUGCUACAUUUUCGGAGAAUACUUUCCUUUGUUUGUUUUUCUGAUAAAUCUUGAAACCAGUGCAGACUCUUCCGCAACCCCCACGAUACCUAGAUGAGACAUGCACGGCCUCAUCUCCCUUCUCAUCUCCACCCACAACACCCACACAAACAAAAGCGGAGACGGGCUGAGUACUCGAAUCCUUCCUGAUUCUUCUGAACAGAGGACUUGAUUCCUUUCUCUGUAAAAACAGCAUGAACGCAUCCCAUCCUGGUGCUGCUUGUUUCAACAGGAGGCAGGCGGGGCUCCCAGUAGGCUGGGAGCUGGUGCCUCAGCCUCACAGCGUGGGGGACAGGAGACAGAGCCCCUCAGAGCCACAUGAGAAGCCCUUCCUGAAAGGCAGGAACCACACGUCAGCACACAUUUAUCACUGGCAGCAAAACACCCUAUAAUCCAGACACUCGGCCUGACGUGAGCAAACAUUCUGGAUACUUGAGCGUCUCCUGAAGGCCAAGCAGUGACUUCCUAGGUCGACUAUCUCCCCAUUGCCAUGAAAAUGAGGACGCACGGAUGUGUGGCUGUUUAUUUACAGAACCCACAACUGCCCCCACCCCCUCACCCUCACCUGGUCCUGCAUGACGUACUCUGGGAACAGGAUUCCUCAUUUCCAUCCCGCCUCGGGUCUCCAAAGACUUCCUGUUCUUGAUUGGAGGUAGUGUGAUUAAUGAAUCCUGAAUAUUUUCUGGGGUGAUUUAAAAAUCGUGAUAAAGUAUAUAGUACAUAAAACUUGCCAUCUUAACCAUUUUAAAGUGUACGGUCCAGAGGAAUUACGUGCAUUCACAGUGUUGGGCAACCGUCACCCCCAUCCAUCUCCAGAAUUAUCCCAUCAUCCCGACGAGAAGGUGGGUCCCUGUGAACCAGAAGUCCAGAAUUUUCCCAUCAUCCCGACCAGAAGGUGGGUCCCUGUGAACCAGAAGUCCAGAAUUUUCCCAUCAUCCCGACCAGAAGGUGGGUCCCUGUGAACCAGAAGUCCAGAAUUUUCCCAUCAUCCCGACCAGAAGGUGGGUCCCUGUGAACCAGAAGUCCAGAAUUUUCCCAUCAUCCCGACCAGAAGGUGGGUCCCUGUGAACCAGAAGUCCAGAAUUUUCCCAUCAUCCCGACCAGAAGGUGGGUCCCUGUGAACCAGAAGUCCAGAAUUUUCCCAUCAUCCCGACCAGAAGGUGGGUCCCUGUGAACCAGAAGUCCAGAAUUUUCCCAUCAUCCCGACCAGAAGGUGGGUCCCUGUGAACCAGAAGUCCAGAAUUUUCCCAUCAUCCCGACCAGAAGGGACAGGACUUCAGAGGUCAGCUGGUCUAUCCACUUCCUUUGGUGGAUGAGACUGAAUCGCACAGGGUAAGUGCUUCCUGGAGCCUAUCAGGCAGAGGCGCAUUCCAGCUCUGAGAGUUGCUAGAUCUGUAAUCUUGUCUGUCUAAGCAAUAGUUUCUAGUAGAGGACAAGGUCCACUUUGGGGGGCUGUUGUGAGAAAUAAAUAAGACCAUGUGGUGGAUUGCUUGGCCCAGAUCCCAUUACAGGCAGGUCUUCAAAAAGCUGUGGCCCCUGUUGUUGCUGGCACCAUGUUUACAAAACUCUGAGGCCCACAGAAGGUAACCAUAGUCUGGUAGCUUCUUCCCAUAGCUGAUCCUAAAUUUCUCUUGUACAUGGCUCUCUUUCUACGUCCAUAUAUUAUGAUAUAGUUCAAGCUGAAAUCCUCCUGUGAGCCUUGUUCAUCUCCUCUGGAAUGGUCAUGGACGUAGUUGGUUGAUGAUUCUGAUCCUGCUAAAAUAUUUCAGGAAGCAGUGAGAUUUGCCUUAUCCCACUGGGCUAUCUACUAACCAUGUGGCCUUGAGCAAGUCACUCAAUCUGGCGAAUCCUUGUGUUUUGCCAAGUAUAGUGUAGAGCAUCGCACCAAAUGUACAGGGCUGUGGUCAGACUUAUGGAAGGACUUAAGUGAAGUCCCAGUGCUGAGACACUCCCCAAAGGGCCAUCUUCAUACUUCAUCAAAACAAAGAGACUGACUGUCAGACAGGCAGCUUAACCAGUACCCAAAAUGAAGGUGCGUCCCCAUUUCCCAGAUGUUCACAUGCAAGGGAAGUGUGCAUCCUGGAAUGGAUGGAAUACGGUAACUGCCUUUUGGGUGAGUGCCUAAGUAAAAGGCCGUAAGAGAGAGAAACGGAAGCUUGGAAAAGCCUCACCUUUUUGGAAAAGGAAGGAAGGUACCAGAGCAGUUCUGUUUCUCCUAUGACUCAGCUGGGACCCACACCUGGAACAGGUCUCUUACCAACUCAUGUUCAAUGAACUCAAGGGGAAAAAAAGUUGUUGGAAAUACGAGCUCAACUCUGGCAUACAGAAUGGAAGAAGAAAUGCUUUGGAGGAAAAAAAAAAGCUCUUUUUCACUUAUCACAUGAAAUGGAACAGUGUCCUUGACUCACACAUGGCCUUGGGCUGACAGCUGGUGGUUUGAGUUGGGGAAAGAGACACCUUUGGUCUCCCCAGGCUAACCAAGUCCAGCUACCUCUACCCUUCCGGGCGUCUUACACAAUGGACCCAUUUGAAGGUGCCAACUGUAGGCAAGUGACUCACUUCUGAGUCUUUGAAACACCAACUUGUUAGGUCUUGAUGAAACUUCAGAGGUGACCUUAAUAGUGGCCUUGCCUCGAGAUGCUCAUGUUCCCACAGCUGAUAGAAGAACAUAAGACUUCUGAAGCCCUCUCCAAUGGGCACUUGGGUUCCUAGAGUUUUACAAACAGGGAGGAUCUUGUUUCGAAGUUGAAGAGGAUCUCUGAUGGUUACAACUUGCUAGGACCUGGGGCUGACUGGAUUAAUUAACAAGGGCGCUACUUCUUUUGGACUUAAACAUUAAUAGCCGCAGCCUAUUAGAAGUUCUAUGGUUAAUAGUGUCUACUUCUGAUAAUCUCUUCACUCCUCGAACUGGUCACUUGCCGCAACCAAACACUGAGCAUUCGCUAUGUCCCAGGCACAAUUCUCAUCCCUUUUCCAGUGAGAAAGGUCCUGUUACUAUUCUUAUUUUAUAGACAUUGGUUAAGCAUGUAGUUUGUCCAAUGUUACACAGCAAGUCUGGACUCUGACUUUGGAGACUGAACUAUUAACCCAACAUGUUAAGGUACCCCUUGAUUGACUUGUUGUCACCUCCUCAGAGCAAAUGGAAGCCAUCAGAUGGGGACACACUCAAUCUCCCUUCACUAAACUUACAACCGCCCCCCCCCCCAUCUUCCUUCCUUGUGUCUAUUUGUCUUGUGCGUCUUCUCAGCUUCUUGUUCCGUCUGUGCUCAGGGUGCCACGCUUACCUGCCUUCUUAAGGACUAUCCUUGGUGACCACACUCUCCUAUAUUUUCAACCUCUUGUCAUUUACCGACUCCUUCCCUCCCUAAAGUAGAUCCCCUAUUGACAAAGAAAUGGAAAGCUGUCCAUCACACCUUAUCACAUACAUACGUAUGUGCUCCAUGCUUACGGAAUGGGUGACGGAAGUGCCAACAUUUAUUGUUCCCCUUUCCUCAUCUCUCCUCUGCAAUCGGCAACCACUUGAAUGUGGUCUUUCUUCCAUUCUGCUCAGUCCAGUGAACACAGCUUAGUCUGUAUCUCCUUGAGCUAUGUGACGGUGUUCCCCACCCGUUUCUUACAGAUGUGCAUCUUUGGGGUACUCUGAUGUAUCUCUACAGGGUUGCUGUUUGGGGCUACUUACUUUCUGUUCCUCCUCCUUUGGAAAAAGAACACCUCAUGUCCUUUUGGAAAUCCCCCUCCCCUGCUUUUGUGGGGCUGUCCGUGGCAAAGCUACUUUCUCUUAGCAACCUACCAGUUCUCCAAGCUGGCUUGGAUAUCCUCCUUUUCACAUGGAGGGAUUUUCACGAGAGCAGCAGUUCCUGAAAUGUGCUCCCUGGACCCAGGGGUAUCAGAAUCUUUUGCAAACAUGGUAGAAAUGCUUGGUUCUUGGCGGUGCCUGGGUGGCUCAGUCAGUUAAGCGUCUACCUUCGGCUCAGGUCACGAUCU